rnacentral:rRNA from 1 species
UACGUAGGGUGCAAGCGUUAAUCGGAAUUACUGGGCGUAAAGCGUGCGCAGGCGGUUUUGUAAGUCAGAUGUGAAAUCCCCGGGCUUAACCUGGGAACUGCGUUUGAAACUACAAGGCUAGAGUGUGGCAGAGGGGGGUGGAAUUCCACGUGUAGCAGUGAAAUGCGUAGAUAUCUGGAGGAAUACCGGUGGCGAAGGCGGCAUCCUGGACCGGCAUUGACGCUGAGGAGCGAAAGCUAGGGGAGCAAACGGG